AUGCCGCCAUCUGACCCGUGGAGGAGGAGAGCGGAGGAGCAUGAGCACAGUAAAGCGUCUGAAGCUCAGCCUCGGGGAUGCCCAGAUUCUGGUGCGCACGUUCAGGGAAAGCGUGAAAGAAAGGCCGCCUCCCGAAGAGGUCUCUAUCUAGGAAAGCAACAGAUCACAAACAUCCCAGACGUCCAUUGGAGCGCCUGCCUGCCCUGGUCACUUGAGGUGUCUUUGAGAAGGCGUGACCCCUGGAGUAGAGAAGAGGAAGAAAGCUCUAAAAGAAGGACUGCCUGACAGAUCUGAGCUUUGAGGCCAAUUCCCAUGGAACUGGCCUACCCCUGCCUGUCCCCACGCAGACCCACCCCCAUGCGAUCUGGAAAUUUCCAGUCCUUUUGCUAAGCUGCCUGAAAUAGACAUAGUUAAGUCUCACAAGUGAAAAUGCCUCUUCACACAUUUGCUCCAUAAGAGAGCUUUUCUCCUAACAGAAAUCAGCUGCCCUGAGGGUGGGCAAGUUUGAUAAGGAAGUCCCUCCUGGGCCGUUUCUCAAAUAGUCCGACCCUGGCAGCAUGGGUCUCACCUGAGAUGCGGGCUUAUCCUGCCCCUAUGCACUAAAUUAUGAUAAAUGACAGACUGAACACUGAGGUCCACUCGCCGCCUUUCAGAGUGGAACCUUCCAAGGGCCAUGAUCACAUUGCGACUGGACAGGAACCAUCCUGGAUGACGCACCCCAUCGUAAGCCAUCGACCUGGGGACAGGCACUCUUACCCCAUUUUCCAGAUGAGGCUCAGGCCAGACUCACACAGUCAUUGCAGAGUAUCAUCCCGAUGAUGAGCUUCACCAGAAGAGACAGGAGGAGGCUGAGGACUCUGUAGGUGGCCCUUACGCCCCCAAUCUUCUGUACAGCCUACAAGAGGUGUUGGGGGGGGCUUCCUUGGUGUGUUUGGUGAGACCCAGGUUUUUAGGCUUUAGUGGUAGAGCAAGCAAGGAACAAGAAUUGGCUCUAAAAUGGACAUAAAUGAAGUCUUUAUGCCUUUGCCACCUAAAAAAAGAGUCCUAAUUGCAGAAUAAUUUGCAAGGAACUCGUAAUUGUGUCUUUCGUUUGUCUGGUAGCAUCUACAGAUGUUCAUAAAGCAAGCUCUUUCCCAGAGGAAUGCUCGCCGGCGAUGCUCUCUGCCUAAGCACCACCGUGAUGCUGGAAAGUUUGUACCCCUCGGAGUCACUGCCCCAGGGACACCCUCGCCAGGCAGGUCAUCUAAAGGGCCUCCUCCUGCCUCGUGAGUUCACCACCUGUUUCCUUCAGAACACUUAUCCUUCACAGUUUUUUCUAGUUUACUCUCUACUUGGAGCUGGGAGAGGGAUGAAGGGAGGAGCCACGCGCCUGACCCGAAAGACACUCGGUGACUCUGUGACUGGAUAACGUGAAGGUGUUUAAUAUUUGCUCAUCAAUACAGCAAGCCACUAACUGCUCUUUGCUUUGUGACAAUACAUACUACCCCACUACCACCCCCACCCCAACGCUAAUUCAUUUCACCAGAGGCAGUAGAGGCCUUGGAAAUGUGUAUUUGAUGGUUGCUUCUGGGCUGAUUCUGGGCUGAUCCAUCAGCAGAACAGCAUGUGGAACAGAACCCGUGCCUGCCUCCCUCACACAAUUUUCAUUCUCUUUGCAGUGAGAGUCAUGGCAACAACCUAAUUCACACACUCAUUUCUGGGUCUUUGGGAUGCCUGAGAGUAUCCUAUGAAUCCUAUUUGCAUUUGUAUCACUUGUCUGCCAGUGAAAAGCCAUGAAUUCGAUUUUAAGGUUAAUGUUACCUUCUAAACACUAUGAUUUAACACUCACCACUGUCUUUGGGAGCAUAUUCAGGGCAGCAGAGAAAUUGUGCUUUCUGGGAAACUCAUUCCAAGGUCCUGGGAACCUGAAAGUGAUCUACAUCCUUUGGGGGCUUGUAAAAGAACUGGAAGAAAGAGCACCUAAGGUUGACCAGAUGGCCUGUAAGCGGGACACUCUUGCAGUGGAAGAUGUGUAGUGGUAGGGAAUAGAAGUUCCAGCUGCACAGUGAUGGCAUCAGAACAAAGAGCAGAAAUGGGAUGAAGCACCUGAAGAAUUAACUUUACUUUGGGCUCCUACUAUUCCUAGUGUGGCCUGUGGACCAGCAGCAUCAGCUUUGCCGAAGACCUUGCCGAACACUGAGAAUCCCCAUUCCUACUCCACAACUACCAGAUGGGAAUCUACCUUGGGAUGAUCUCCAGGCGAUUUGUAAGAACAUCAACAUUUGCGAAGUGCUGACUUAUACCAAUGGCAAGUAGGAGCUUGGGGACCUAGAGGAAAUUCCUUACAAUUUAGGAAUUCCUUCACUUAGAGGAAAUUCCACUAUGCACAUAUUCAAGCCUUGGUCAUAUCCAAGGAGAGUGUGAGUCAGGGAAACAGGGCUUAUCACUUCACUCUUGCAUUCCUGAAGGUCUUGUUUCCUCAAGGAGUGUAUAAGCUAACUGGGGCCAAGGAGAGUUUAUGGAACUCCCUUCUGUUCCUCCCGGCACACGGCCUUGGGAACCUGACUUUGGUUUUUGGUAGGCAGUGACGUCAGGUCACUUAGCCAGCCCUCCUAGGAUUAUGUGUGAAUAUGAAGACACAAAAUGUUAGAAAAUGGUUUAAGAAUCUGUUGUUCAUGCUCAUAAACAUAAUGUUCAUUCCUCAGAACUGGGUCUUUCCAGAGCCAGAGGUGUGGCUGUGUGGUUUUAAUCUGCAUUAAAUGCCCCAGAGGCAAGGUUACAUAAAAGCACAAGAAAUCAUGAAACCAAUUUGGGUAGGCGCUGAAAAAACAAAAACAAAACAUUGGUUCUCUAGUUCAUUGGCUUUCAUCUUCUCCCUAGGGCACAGAGAACUCUCAAGCGCAUCAUAAUAGCCUUGGUACUCUUCCCCCUCUCUCCCCUUCAGCACACCCCCCUCACCUCCCUACCCCUGCAGCUGAUCACCAAUAAUAAUUCUUAUUUUGAAAAUAGUAUGUCAGGGACUGCAAACAUGACCUCACAUUUAGCGUCUAUUGCAGUGAUCUGUGUGAUAUUGCAGUACCCAGAAUACAUGCAGUUUGAGAGCUUUUUAAGAAAAUUACAGAACAAAGUGGUCCUAGGAUAUGUGUAUGGUGCGACUGUGUGCAUGUGUAUGUGUGUGUGUGUGCAUUUGUGUACUGUGUGGAUUCUUGCCUUUACAGCAAUUAGACUUUGAACCAUGAAAGUAGAAAACUAGGCUAAAAUAUAUAAUUCAGCUCAAGUAAACAUAGCCCUUUUCUCAAGAAAUAAAAUUAAAAUCUGCACCA
rnacentral:lncRNA from 12 species